CUAACACAUGCAAGUCGAGCGAAGCGCUGUUUUCAGAAUCUUCGGAGGAAGAGGACAGCGACUGAGCGGCGGACGGGUGAGUAACGCGUGGGCAACCUGCCUCAUACAGGGGGAUAACAGUUAGAAAUGACUGCUAAUACCGCAUAAGCGCACAGGACCGCAUGGUGUAGUGUGAAAAACUCCGGUGGUAUGAGAUGGACCCGCGUCUGAUUAGGUAGUUGGUGGGGUAAAGGCCUACCAAGCCGACGAUCAGUAGCCGACCUGAGAGGGUGACCGGCCACAUUGGGACUGAGACACGGCCCAAACUCCUACGGGAGGCAGCAGUGGGGAAUAUUGCACAAUGGGGGAAACCCUGAUGCAGCGACGCCGCGUGAAGGAAGAAGUAUUUCGGUAUGUAAACUUCUAUCAGCAGGGAAGAAGAUGACGGUACCUGAGUAAGAAGCACCGGCUAAAUACGUGCCAGCAGCCGCGGUAAUACGUAUGGUGCAAGCGUUAUCCGGAUUUACUGGGUGUAAAGGGAGCGUAGACGGAUAGGCAAGUCUGGAGUGAAAACCCAAGGCUCAACCCUGGGACUGCUUUGGAAACUGCAGAUCUGGAGUGCCGGAG
rnacentral:rRNA from 1 species